rnacentral:rRNA from 1 species
UACGUAGGGUGCGAGCGUUGUCCGGAAUUACUGGGCGUAAAGAGCUCGUAGGUGGUUUGUCGCGUUGUUCGUGAAAUCUCACGGCUUAACUGUGAGCGUGCGGGCGAUACGGGCAGACUAGAGUACUGCAGGGGAGACUGGAAUUCCUGGUGUAGCGGUGGAAUGCGCAGAUAUCAGGAGGAACACCGGUGGCGAAGGCGGGUCUCUGGGAAACAACUGACACUGAGGCGCGACAGCGUGGGGAGCAAACAGG